UACGGAGGGUGCAAGCGUUAAUCGGAAUUACUGGGCGUAAAGCGCACGCAGGUGGCUGAGUCAGUCGAUUGUGAAAGCCCUGGGCUUAACCUGGGAAUUGCAGUCGAUACUACUCAGCUAGAGUAUGGGAGAGGGUAGUGGAAUUCCCGGUGUAGCGGUGAAAUGCGUAGAUAUCGGGAGGACCAUCAGUGGCGAAGGCGGCUACCUGGCCCAAUACUGACACUCAGGUGCGACAGCGUGGGGAGCAAACAGG
rnacentral:rRNA from 1 species